GCAAAGCAUAUUAAUGCUUUGCUAGAAAGUCUUGGUGUCCUUACUGUUGUAUCUCCCAAGACCUGGCAUAAUAAUUGGCAUCUGGUAGAAGUUUGGAUAGUUAGUAAUUUUUGUUAUAUUGGUAUAUUGUUAUCAUAGUUAUGUGUUGAAUUAAUGCAUAAAUGAACAAAAGACACAAGAAAUUUUCCUUUUAUGUAUAGGCAAAGUGUGGCUUCAGUUUAAAGCUCAAAUUUCUCAUGUUUUAUAAUGGUUUGAGUCACAAAACACUGGCAUUUUUUGUACUACUUUGCUGAGGGUACACAAUUAUUUAUUUUUUUUAUUAAAUUUUUUUUAAUGUUUAUUUUUGAGAGAGACAGAGACAGAACAUGAGUGGGUUAGGGGCAGAGAGAGAGGGAGACACAGAAUCUGAAGCAGGCUCCAGGCUCUGAGCUGUCAGCACAGAGCCCGACGGGGGACUCGAACUCAUGAGCUGCGAGAUCAUGACCUGAGCCAAAGUCGGGCACUCAACCGACUGAGCCACCCAGGUGCCCCCACAAAAUUAUCUUAAACUCAACUUGAUUACUCUGUUAAUUAGAGAGUGCCAAAUUUUUGGGGGGGGUCAUGGAGGAAAGAGAAAAUGUAUUCCUUAAGGUUGUCUACUUUUUUAUUGGGUACUUACACCUGUUUCAGUAUAGCACACAGGAGAAUAAAUCUUCUAUGUUUAAAUUUUUCAAAAAGGACAUUUUCAGUUGAACUUACAUUUGUGCAAAUUUCUUAGAAAUCAAGAGAACAUUGUUGAGGAGUAUAUGACCGUUUACUUGUCAGUAUGUAACAGUACUUGGCCAGAUAAAAAUGUGAAAAUGUAUCAUUAUUUUGGUUGGCAAAAUUUAUUGGCUCUUUAUUCUCUUGGUUUUAGUAAUGUACACAAACAUCUCCUACAACCCUGUAAAAGAAAAGACUUGGAACAAUUGUAUUCAAAAUGACAAAACAUGUACAGAUAAUUCAAAGAAGAAAAUACUGACAAGUAAGCAUGUGAAAUGUCUCCGAAUCAUUCAUAAACACCCUUUAAAAAUCAUUGUAUGAUCAUUUGAAUCAAUUUUACAUAGAUGUAAAAAGGUGAUGCCAACUAGGUGAGAAAGUGGGUGUCAUUCGUGGACAUAAAUGGAACCCAAGAAACAUGGACAAGGAUUUCAUUCAGAAACUUAGAAAAUUUAUUGGACAAUAGACAACUGUUCAAGCUCCAUUAGAUAGCAGUUCUGAAGCUACCUUUCUAGAUGACUUUUGUUGUUGUAAUUGUCGUAUUUUAACUGUAUUAAAGCUUCUAACUGAUCCCCUUACUUCUAGCUUCAGAUUCUCUGUUUCAUCUGUCUGCCAGAGCAGUAUUUGGGAAAGAUAUGACAAACCAAGUCACAUUUCUUCAAAAAUCUGCAUUUGGCAUGUUUUUAAGAGUAUUAGAGAUAAGCAAUAAUCAGAGAAGAGGACAAAGAUUAUAUAAACUGAUAAUAGAGGAUCUUUUGCCACUGUCAAAACUGGAAAUUUGCCACUUUAAGUCACUGAACAUUUGGAUUCCUAAAUUUUGUGCCCUAAGACUCCCCUGAUAUGAAUCUUAUGAAAUUUGUGCAGCAAUAAACAAUGUGAUUAUAAUCCAAGAUGAUUUAGGAUACUGUGCAAAUGUUUUUGCCACUGACGUGAACAGGAGAGUAUAUCCUGAGAGCCUCUGCAUUGAUCAGAUUGUAGUUUUCAAAUUUUUCUGGAGUAUCCUGAGCAAUUAUACUUAUGGACUGCUAUGAAGCCUAAACAUCAUGCUGAUUCAAGGGGUCUUUGACCAGGACCUUCCUGUAGAGACACUCCCUAGAUCUUGUACUCUAUAUUUAUUUCAUGGUCCAACAUGAUUAGCACAGCAUCUCUAAUUCCAAAUUACUCCCCAGAAUGCAAAUGUAUGAAGUUAUCUACUGAAUUGAAAAUAAUUUCAAGUGAAUGGAACUUGUAGUGUUGGUUUGGAAUGGACAAUCUCAAGUAAAUAUAAGACAGCAUUCUAGGAAUAUAUGGAACGAAAGGGACAACACAUCCCAACUUGAGCUAGAAGCUUCACCAACUACAAAAUCACAGAGAAAAUAGAGAUAUAUACUGUCCUGAAAUUCAUCUUGCUUUUCAAAUAUUUAUAUUUCAUUGGCAAUCUUUGGAUUUGGUAAAAAUCUCAGUAUUUUUUUUUGUGUGUGGAUUACCAAUUUACCAUAAAAAUAUUUACUAGUAAGAGCCUUGUAUACGUGACUUUAAUACAUACAUGAUAAACACAAAUAUUUUCUUUUUUUUCUUCACCUCACACACCAUUUUAGGAAUGUAAACUUAUUGACUAAUUACUGGACAUAUAUAGCUUAAGAAUAAAUGCUUAAGAAAAUUGUGAUUGGGUAAUGGUAUUGAAAUCAAUAUAAAAUACUCAGUGAAGGAUGAAUAUAUAUGAACUGUUCAUUGGAUGUUAGUGAAAAGAAUGAAAUUCAACAUGUAAUAGUUUAUUGUAUUUUAUUCUUUCUUUGCUUUAUAUUUCUUGCACUCUGAUGCUCAAGCACAGAGACUGCAAUUAAAAACAAAUCUAUUGUUUUUAAAAAUGGUUGCUGUGAUAAUAGAGCUGGUUUCCUAGGUAAGUUUUUAAAAGCAUGUUUGGUAAAACUGCCUUCUGGAAAAGAUUUUAGAAAGGAAUGAGGCCAUUUUGUAAAGAUACACACAAUUCUAUAUUCAUUGUUUGAAUGUUUAUGGAUAAGGGGAGAGGAAAUGGACAUGAGGAAUGUUUAAUAUAUUAAUCAGGAAAAAAGUAAGGCACUAGUUAUUAAUGUUUAUUUUGAGAAUAUACUGUAUGAAAUAACUAAAUAUAAUUGCAUUGUGACUUUAAGGUAUUGUGAUUGUUUGCUAACAUUUAGAAGAAAUAUUUUUAAUACAUGAUUAUAAAAAUAGAACUGUUAGAAUACCUUUGAAUGAUACACAUUUAGAAUCAUUUCAUUGAAUGAUUUUUGAGAGGCUUUUGGUGCGGGCAAGGAUUGUUCUGUAUGCAGCUGUUACACAAGAAAUUUUAUUAAGGCUGUUCUGUGUGGUUGUAGAUGUUAUUCUGUAAAUAUUUGUUAAUAUCUUUAUGGUAUGUUAAUGUUUCUAUGGUAUGAGAUUUAAUUCCCAUGAUGGAAUUACUGCAUAAGAGUCCAGCUUCUAUGCAUGUUUAGGAUUUGGUGGGCUUUUUUAUUGCUAUGUAUAUAAUGGAAAAAGUACUGUGUUAAACCAUCCUAUUAAUCAUGGAGAUGACUGAUAUUUGGGGCAUUUUAAAUGUUAGAAUAUAAUUUUGGUUGUUGAGAGGAGUUUCUAGACUGCCUUAUUUGUAGUAGGCAAAUAAAAGCAGAAUUUAGAAGGUAGAGAAUAGGGAAUUUUGGAGGGUAUACGUGUAUGCAUAUGUGCAGAAACAGUUCUUGAACAGCCUAGAGGCUUUACUCGAUGCUCAGAAGUUGGGAAUCGACAUAUAUUUUAUUAAUCCUGUGAUGUUAAAUAGGUGUAGUUUGUUGUUUUUUUCCAAUAGAAUUGUUAAAUUGCCUCAACAUUAAUUCCUUUUCAGUAAUAUUGUUAUACUUUUUGUUAAAGUGUUAUAUACAAUGUAAUGUUCUUUACCAUCUAAUGCUCUACCUACAUAGACAUCACUGUAAAUACAUAUCAACUUAUAUGGAUAGACAUUUUUGUUUGACAAAAAUGAUACUAUAUCUAGCCUCUGUGUUCAUUGGAUUAUUAGGUUCAAAUUGUAGGGUGGAAUAAAUGUGCAGUGUCUAGUAUAAUAUCUCACAUUGUUUUUUAUAGAAGAUUCAUCAUAGUGGAAAUGUCAUUUUAACUGUGGCUCUGCCUUUGUUUAUGGUUUUUAGAUAUGUUUGUAUGCAAAUAGGAAAUACAGUUACUAGAAAAAUCUCUACAUGUGGUUAAACAUAAUAGGUUAGAAAAGUUUUUAUUUGCCAGUGUAAUUUGACUUUUAAUAACUGAAUUGUUCUUGAUUUAAAAUACUACAUAAAAUAGUAUAGGUGAUUUACAAGUUUUUGUUAGAGAUGUUUGUAAUGGUCUGUCAAAUCUAUGUUCUUAAAAGGAUGGGCUGAUCAAAGAAAAGUUUUAUAUAAUGUGUAUAUAAUUAGACACAGUUAUUAUGUUUUCUUAAAGCCGAGGAAUAAUUAUAUCAGCAUGUUUUGUAAAUAUGUAGAAUGAAAAAUUUUCAUAACAGCUGUCAGAUUAUGUCUGAGUAAAUAAUUGAGCAGCUGAAGUUCAGGAUAUUUUGUUAGAUUGUUCUGUGUGUAAAACAGGAUAAAAUAAUUUUUACUUUAAACUUUUAAUCCUUAAUUUUACAGGGGUUGCAUUCAUAUACAUAUGUAUAUAUACCCACAGGUGUAUUGUAUAUGUAUAUAUAAGACAACUGUUUAUUAAAAAUUAUACAAUAGGAACACCUUUUGGCCAAAUAAUUAUCACUCGGCUUUAAUCUGUUCUUUGUGUUGUUUGAUGGUGGAUAAUACAGGGUGUUGUUCAUGAGCUUUAGUUGCCGGAGGAUACUGUUAAAUGACUAGUUAAGUUAUAGACCGACAUUAGUUUUUGUUUUAGAAUAUCUGCAUAGGAUUUGCUGAUAGGUGCGUAUAUUUUUUGGAUAUUAAUUUGAGAGACAAUGUGAAAAAACACUUUACUUUGACAAAUUGAAUUACUACACCAUGUCUAUUUGGGAUGUAUUUGGUGAUAGGGAUUAUAUUAUUUUGUUUUGCAUAUAGGAGGUAAGUGUCAUUUUAUAAAUCAUUUUUAGACAUAUAAUUUCUGUCAAUAAUUUUGGAAAUAUAUUUUUAUUGAAAUAUUAAAGGUAGAAUCAUUGAUUAUAGAUGUAGUAGAGCAUCUUCAAGCAUUAGGUUUUAUUUUGAUGUUUUUUCUUUCUGUAUUCUUUAUUUCAGUUCUUUAUUUAAGUUUAUUUAAAUUCCAGUUAGUUAACAUACAGUGUAAUAUUAGUUUCAGGUGCACAAUUUAGGAUUCAGCUAUUCCAUACAACACCCAGUGCUCAUCACACAUGCACUCCUUUAAUUCCCAUCACCUAUUUAACUCCUCCCCCACCCACCUCCCCUCUGGUAACCCUCAGCUUGUUCUAUAUUGUUAGGAGUCUGUUUCUUGGUUUGCCUCUCUCUCUGUGGCUUUGAGAUUUUUUAGUUAGACAUUCAUUGUUAAAGUACAGAAAUUUUAUUGCCAUUCAUAUUUGAAAUAUGAAAUGAGUAAUUUCUUAUACUGAACUUUUUUUUAUGCUUGUAGACAUGAAAUAGUAAAAUAAGUCUGCUGUUAUGAUUUAUAGACUUCUGUGUAUGUAGUUAUUGAUAAAAUAUUUAUUUCUAGAUAUACAGACAUUGCUGAUAAACAUGUUUAAAUAUCAAACUUAUAAAAAUCAAUAUAAUUAGUUUCUCUGCAUGUUCAGUGGUCGUGAGAGAAUGGAUGGGGUGGUGGAUGUUUUCCAUUCUCAUCAGUAAUGUAAGAUUCUUUGGCUUUGAAUCUAUUUUUUGGUUUAUAGAGAUAGUGAACAUCAUGUAUGUUACAGUCAUGCUGUUGGUAAACUAUAAGUUUGACAUAUUUCAGAAUUAUUUUAAGAAUUUCUUAUGGAUGGCACUUUGUGGUUUGUUGUUAAACACUGGUAUUUAUAAUAGUUAUAGCAUUUGACUUAGGAAGUAUAUAGAAAUGUUGGUAAACAAAAUGAUAGAAGGUAGAAACCAUUUUCUUUUGAGGAUGUUGUUCACCUUUGUGUAGGAUUCCAUGGAAUGCUGGGAUUAUUAAAGACAAUUUAUUUGAAAAUUGGGUUAAAAGCUUCUGAGCCUUAUUUUUGUUAUGUUUGUGUGUACACACACAUGUAUAUAGUCAGAAAAGAGGGUGGUUAAAAGUUCAUUGCCUCACAUAUUUCAUUUAGAAGAAAAAUUAGACUUCAAUAGUUAAAUUGUAGUUAAAUUGUGCCCAUUUUAUAUAAAAAUAUUUCUACUUAUUAAGGGACAUGAGGUAUAUCUUAUUUUCUCAGAUGUCUGAGGUUCUUGAUGAAAUUCAUUUUACUAAAGAAAAUUUUUCAGAAUCUAAAUUACGCAGUUUUGUGUUCAUUUGUUACACAGCAGUAAGACAACUUCGGAAAUAAUAGGCAAGUGAAACAUUUGGUUUUAAGCAUCUAAUAUUUCCAGAUGUAUUCAUAGUGUUACAGUAUAAUUUUGUAAACAUUUUCAUUGUAAAUGUGUUAGGACUAUUGUCUUUUAAAGUUGUCAUGGCAAGGAAAUUGAUCACUGAUAAAUAGGGUCUUGGAGCUAUGCAAUAUUUAUCAUACACUCAUUUUGUUGAGAGAAAUAGAAAAGAUUAUGCAUUUAACCCAUUCUCAUAGUAGAAUAGUAUGCCAUUGUAUAAGUAUAAACUGUAUAUUAAAAAACAUACACCAUGUAAAUUCAUUCGAUGUUACAAGGUGUAUUGUAAUGUAUUUCAUUUGGAGCUUCCCUAGUAUAUGUACCUUACAUUAUUCUUGUGUUAAGAUAUUUUUUAGAGCAGAUCUAGAUCGAUUCAUAGCAAAAUUGAGGGGAAGGUACAGAGAUUUGCCAUCUAGCUCCUGCCCCAGCACAUGCGUAACCCCCAUCAUUAUUCACACAGCACAUGCAUAAUCAGUCCCAUUAUCAUCAUACCAUACCAGAGUUACUUACCAUUUGUUCCUGCUGAUGAAUUUACAUCAAUACCUCAUAAUUACCCAAAGUCCAUAGUUUUUCAUGGUUGACUCUUGGUAUUGUACAUUUCGUGGGUUUGGACAAAUGUAUUAUGACAUGUAUCCAUCAUGGUAUUAUGCAGAAUGUUUUCAUUGUCCUAAAAAUCCUCUGUGCUUCACCUAUUCAUAUCUUCCCCAUAUUUAUUUUUAUUGUUAACAUUGGAGAUAUAAAUGACUUUGUUAAAGAGAUUUUAUACUACCUCUUGGAACUAUACACAAUUCUGUAUGUGUUCCUUUGGUUGCAUGACAAUAUUCAAGACAACUUUGUAAAUAAUAGAUACAAGUUUUUAGUUUUUAACAUCUAGUUUUUUCUAGAUGUGUAGAGUCUCACAACGUAUAAUUUUGUAAAUAAUUCAUUGUAAACUUUCAUAGUUUCAUUGUUAUCAAGUGUUUUAAUAGCAGUGCAAUUGAUAACAAUUUUCUUGAUAACAAGUUUCUUGAGCUAUUGCCUAUUUUGGUAUCGGAAAGAGAAAGUUACUAAAAAGGUGUACUAUUACUCUUGCAUUCUCUAAAAGAAAAUUUUACAUUUUAAUCACUGUUUAGUCCUUGUAUUAUUAUACAUUAAAAAACCUAAGUCCUAAUUUUAUAUUGUAUUGCUAUACAACUAUUAAACUUACAGUUGUAUUGCUGAUUAUGUAUUUUAAUCAUAGCAAGUCUGUUUUAUGAGAAAUAUUGUCCCUCUUUGAGCUCUUCAGUUUUGUAUUUAACUGAACAGAAUGAAAAUAUUCAAGACAACUUUGUAAAUAACAAAUACAUCAUUUAAAAAUACCUAGUGUUUUUAGAUGCAUGGUAUUUCACAAAGUAUAAAUUUGUAAAUAUUUCAUUAUUGUAAAAUACCGUAAGUUGUCUUUUGUAAGUGUUGGCAGUGUAAUAAGUAAUUAACAAUUGUUCUCUUAGGGUUAUAUAACAUUUUGGUGUUAAGUGGGUUUUUUGGGGAGAGGGAUAGAUAUAUCACCUUCCUUUUCUUCAGAUUGUUAGGUUUUUAUGUAUAAGAAAAUAAUAGAUUUUAUACUUAAACAAAAUAUCCCAGGAUGAUUUUUACCUUUAGAAAGAGGAAAGAAUACGUGAGAAGGAAACUGUCUUUUUUAAAUCACAGAUAUAUUUGUGGAAGAUAUUCUUACUGUUGUUACUUUGCUAUGCUAUAUAAAUCUACUUUUUGUAAAUUUAUAUGUGUAUACAUGCAUAUACAUACAUGUUAUAAAUGUUAAUACAUAUGUGCACAUGUACAUUUAGUUUUAGGAGUAUAAAUAUGAUAGUACUCUCAUUAGCUUAUUGCUUUGCAUUUUAUUUUUGGAAUACUAUGGAAAUAUUCAAAUCUAAACUUAAAUAGUUCCAUAAUCCUGCUUCAUGUUAUAUCUAAAUGUAUGUAUUUAAAAAUAUUUUUUAAUGUUUAUUUUUGAGAGAGAGAGCAUGAGUGAGGGAGGGGCGGAGAGAGAGGGACACACAGAUCUGAAGCAGGCUCUAGCCUCUGAGCUGUCAUCAGCACAGACCCUAACUCGGGGCUCGACCCAUUAACUGUGAGAUCAUGACCUGAGCCGAAGUCAGACGCUCAACUGACUGAGCCACUCAGGUGCCCCUAAGUGUGUUAUUUUUAAUAUAAAAUGAUUAACUCCAUAUGUGUUUGUUUUCUAAUCUGUUACCAUAUAUAGACAUCUGAAUGAAAAUAAAACUUCUGUGCUUAUGAAUAUUUAUUUUAUUCUAAGACCUUUUUAAAAAUUUCCAGUGUUUGCUUAUAUUUGUAUGUUAUGUGAUAAUCAGAAACAAAAGUCAAAAAUGUUCAAUUCAGUAGCCAAUAAUAAAUUAUGAACAUUUUUGGAAGAAAAUUGACCUAUAAAUUAAGGUAUAAAUCAGUAUUUUUUUUUGAAUAGCAGUUUGGCCAUAAUAAUUGAAAUUCAAGUGUGUAAACAUUUAAAAUGGUGUUACUUGCUGCUGGGAAUUUAUUCCACAUCUCAAAUUUACACUGAAGUAUGUUAUACAUUGAGUAUAAAUAAUAGUUGAGCAUCUGAAAUAUAUCUCAACAAAAGAUCAUAAUGGUUGUAGCUUAUUCAUCAUAUGAAUAUAAUUUAGACACUGGAACAUGGUCUGAUACAAAAGGGUGUUUUGUGUGGAUGUUUAAAAUUAUGCCAGUUUUUGAACAAACAUCAACUAAUAGUGUGUUUACAGAGGUUUGACCAUAUGCCUCGUUCUAAUUGGAAAUGUCAAUCAUUACUGUUCCUGAGGAAUGUAAUUAUUCUGACAUGAUUAUAGAGUUAAGUAAUGCUGACUGAUCAGUGUUAUAAUGAAUAUUUUAGCAUUAUUAAAAAUUUUGUACAUGUGUACAUUAAGUGGUAAAAUACUGUCUUAUUAUUUGUGUAUUGCUACUUGACAAUCUGAAAUUAACAUAUUAAUUGUUAGAAAGGUGUCUGGAAGAAUGGAUGGCAAAAUUUUAACAUUACUGUACAGAGAGAUGGGAAUGGAAGACUGCUUCUACUUCCUGCAUUUUGAAUUUUAAAGGUAUUUCAAAAGGAACAUCUAAACAGCAAAAAGGGGAUUUUAAAGAUACAUCCAAUUUAUGCCUGCCUUUCAUCCUUGCCUAUCAAUAUCUGGCGAGUAUUGGGCUGUUGUAUCCAGUUUUGUAUUCCCAGUGGCCAUUAUGAAUUGUUUGUGAGUGAUCAUGAAGAGCAUGUGGUUUAGAGACUCUAACGUAGCAGAGAGUUUUACACGCUGAAACAGCAUUGUGGGACUCCAGAAAUGAACAUGGGAGAGGAUAGGAUUUCAGAUGAGCACAAUGAAAGGAAGAGAUUUACAGAUAAUCUGAGGACAGCUGACAUUCCUAUGGUCUUUCUUAAUUCAUAAGUCUUAACUGGGAACUACAGGUUAAUGCAAGAGUGGAAGGGAGUGUGGAUAAGAUACUGUGGAUAUAAAGUGAUAAUGCAAAAUGAACUGAUUAAUAGAUGGACACAAGAGUGAAUGAUUUGAUGGAUAUGGGCCUAAAAGAAUAUAUAGUUUUAACUGAGGUGUUACCAGCUUAAGAAGUGAGACAUUUUAGAUGCUUCACUACCUGACAUUUCCAUAUCAAUCCAAAUUCUUAUACUUGUUUAUCAUUUCUGUGGACUUCAUUCUUCAACAGUGCUGCAUGUUUCAUAAGCAAGGACCAAAGAGACUUUGACCACAGGUGGUGAACAAGUAUACAAGAGGAUCAUAGAUACCUUCCUGCAGUGGUUCCAUCCACAGCAUCGCCAAAUUGAUGUUGUUAUUUCCCUCUUUUUGAAGCUUAUUGCAUCAUUGUAUCUCAAAGGGCACAAGUUAUAAAUAUAAAUAUAGAUAUAAAUGCAAAUAUAGAUAUAGAUAUAAAUAUAAAUAUAAAUAUAAAUAUAAAUAUAAAUAUAAAUAUAAAUAUAAAUAUAAACAUAAAUCUCCCCAGGAAUAGAAGUGGUCUGCUUUUUGGCAAGUAAUGACCAAGAAUGUUAAGUACUUCUUUGUUCUCUGACUAUAUCUUGAGCUUUUCUCUGUUGUUAUUUACUUCAUUGAUUUUUUUUUUCUCUGUUUUACUUUACAAGUGGGAAUGAGAUUUGCAUGUGGUAAAUGUAAUUAAUGCAACCCCAUGGACACCUUGGUCAUACCAUAGAUUAUAACCAGGCUAUCUCACAAGCUGAGUACCUCCCAUGUGCCAGUUUGGAUACCAUUUGUAAAAUGUGUCUUUCAUCAUUUGAAUCAUGAGCCCUCAGGUGUUAGAGUGGUUGGUCUAAAACAGUAGCCUCUUAAAACAUUUGUGUUACAUGCAAAUAGAUAUUCUGUAGUUUUAGUUUUUAUUCAACCUAGUAGAUCUCACUUUAGAACACGAUCAGAGCCUGACCAUAGUUGACCUCUUCCUUAGUACCCAAAUUUAAGACUUGGGUGCUGUCACAACUCUGGUUGUUUAAGGUAGAACCAGACUCUUUAACUGACAUUUUUAGCCUUGGCAAUGCCAUCCUGUAGAACACAUGGUUCUAUAAUUUUAUUGGUAUCACUGGAAUUUUGAAAUUGGAGUAAAGAACUCAAGGCAACCAAGAUAUUUCACUUUUAUUCACAUUAUCCUGACUUAUUUGUUUUCUGUUUAAUCUAAAUAGGCUUAAUACAGAUGGCUGUGUUUAUUGGAAGUUUUAAUUGACUACUUCUAAAACAUAAACUGUAUUGUAAUCAGGGAACUACUAUCUGCAUUGCCUAACUUGUCUUAGUAGACAGGUUUGACACAUAGUACAAUGAAAUAGGGCCAAUAAUAGGAUUAUUAAACAGUUUAAAGCAAAAUUUGGUCAUUCAUCCUUCAUCUUUCAUUCCUACUUCCUAGGUGUAACAAGCAUUAAUCAGUUAUGCUACAGUUAAUAUUUCUAAGCUCAUACAGUUUAUGUGCAAUUUAUUUUACAAAUAAGACAUUAUGGUUUUUGCAGCUAUAUUUUUUAUUAAAUAUACUGUGGACGUAUUUCUAACCCAAUAAAUGUAGUUUCUCUACA